AGUGCGUAUCUCUACUUUAUCCCUCAAAUAUGUGUAACGUUUUCUAACCCCCUCCUAGGUUGGUGGAGUGAUCUGUCUGCUUAAUUGCGAUAACGAACGAGACCGUCGCCUGCAUUUCUACACCCGCCACUCCCGAGUGGCGCGGUGUUCAAUGAGGGACUACCUGUGCUAAACAGGGGGAAGUUGACGGCAAUAACAGGUGCGUAUCAUCUCUUGUAUUCCACUCCACAAAAUAGCGAAUUCUAACCCCCUCUCUAGGU
rnacentral:rRNA from 1 species